AUCCCCUGGCACUUUUGAAAGACCUGGGCAGCUAUCUGUGGUGUCUUGGCCAGAUUUCAGUUGGCUUAAAGAUUUUCCAUUGACCUAAAUUCCCUCUGCAUUGUGUCAGUGGCCCCGGGGCUGGGUGUUUUUUGCUAUACAGAGUUGUUGACAAUCAGUUAGCAAAGUCUGUAAAGCGAUUUGGGACAUGUUUGGAUGAGAGGUGCCGUAGAAACACAAGAGCAUUAAGGGCUCUAAGGUGCAUCCACACCAGGCUUUUACAACCUGGCACUGUGGUAAAUGCCUAGUGUGGACAAGGCUGCCCCUAGUGUUUACCUGAUACUACAUGAAAACUGCAAACUGCCCCGUCUUCACUAGGACUUUACCGUGUGUUCACUAAUGUGGUAACAUCCCCCUUUUUUUCCUAGUGAAGACAAGGCCUACACGGCCUGGACUCCUCCUCUGCCCCCAGGCCGUGCUGCUGCAGAUGGGAUCAGUGGAGGUUCCCAAGAGAGACCCCCCUGCCACACACAGUGAAAAGAACGUCCUUAGGAAAGCAAUUGUGCUCCAUCAGCUAACCUGUCUCCUAUGCCUAGAGGUCUUAAAUCAUCAUUCACCUGCCAGCCAGGCAUCACACCGUCAGGUGCUUUGUGAAGAAAACAGUCGAUACGGAGUCCAAGACACAGGUCUGCUGCUGGGAGCUGCCAGAGCCCAUUGCGUUCAGUGCCAGCCUAUACAGAUUCCUGCUGGAGCCACAAGAGGGCACGAUGUCACACUCUUCAUAGUAAUAUCUAGAGCUGGUUGAAAUUUCCUGGAUUUUGAGUUUUUGAUUCCCCCUUCCCCCAACAUUUUGAUUUAGCACCCCACCCCCACCUCAGGAAUUUUCACUGCAAAUCAGGAUUCCAGCCAGCAAUUGAACAGGUCAAACUUUUUCAUCAACUA
rnacentral:lncRNA from 1 species